UACGUAGGAGGCAAGCGUUGUCCGGAGUUACUGGGCGUAAAGCGCACGCAGGCGGUUCAGUCAGUCUGUAGGGACAGGGCACAGCUCAACUGUGUCAGGCUUACGGAAACUGCUGAACUUGAGGGCUUCAGAGGGAUGGGGAAUUCCGGGUGGAGUGGUGAAAUGCGUAGAGAUCCGGAAGAACACCAAAGGCGAAGGCAGUGUCCUGGGUGGUCGCUGACGCUGAGAGGCGAAAGCCAGGGGAGCGAACGGG
rnacentral:rRNA from 1 species